GAGACUCUGUGCGCGUGCAUAUCAAUAAGCGGAGGAAAAGAAACUAACAAGGAUUCCCCUAGUAACGGCGAGUGAAGCGGGAAGAGCUCAAAUUUGAAAUCUUAAAGGGUUUCCCUUUACGAAUUGUAGUUUAAAGAAGUGUUUUCUGUUGGAGUUUCGGUAAAAGUUCUUUGGAAUAGGACAUCAUAGAGGGUGAGAAUCCCGUAUUUGACCUUACUUUCCUAGCUGUGUGAUACACUUUCAAAGAGUCGGAUUGUUUGGGAAUGCAGUCCAAAAUGGGUGGUAAAUUUCAUCUAAAGCUAAAUAUUGGCGAGAGACCGAUAGCGAACAAGUACCGUGAGGGAAAGAUGAAAAGAACUUUGAAAAGAGAGUUAAACAGUACGUGAAAUUGUCAAAGGGAAGCGUUUGACACCAGUGUUGUUUAGUUGGAAAAUCAAUUCAAUAGUUUUUGAUUUUAAGUAGUAUUGACUUCAUCAGCUUGCUGCUUUCUUUCUCAGAAAUUAUUGAAUGCACUUUUCAGUUAACAAGUCAACAUCAAUUUCUUUUGUUGUAAAAGGGUAAGAGGAAGGUGGCUUACGCUUCGGCGUAAGUGUUUAUAGCCUUUUACCUCUGCAAUCGGAGAGAUUGAGGACAGCAGCGUAGACUCCUUCGGGGGUUAGAUACACUUGUGCUAAGCUAUAGCCUUGUAUAGACAACCUGUUGACUAUGCUCAGUCAUGUAGCUUACUCGCUUGUGCUAUUUUACCUACGCUUAGGAUGUUGAACUCUAUCACACACAG
rnacentral:rRNA from 1 species